rnacentral:tRNA from 2 species
GGUUCGCCAGCGCGGUUGAGGCGAGUCGCUUGAUGCGCGGCGUGGGUCCCGAUUCGGCGAUUGCACGGAGCGUCCCCUCGGCGGGCUUC